rnacentral:rRNA from 1 species
AGCGAACGCUGGCGGCGUGCCUAACACAUGCAAGUCGAACGUGAAAAGGGAAACCUGAGUAAAGUGGCGUACGGGUGAGUAACGCGUAGGUAAUCUACCCCAGAAUCUGGAAUAACCUGCCGAAAGGCGGGCUAAUACUGGAUAGAGCGAGGGAACUCGUAAGAGAGUUUUUCGGGAAAGGGAGCCCGCAAGGGCCUUCGUUCUGGGAUGAGCCUGCGUCUCAUUAGCUAGUUGGUAAGGUAACGGCUUACCAAGGCGAUGAUGAGUAGCUGGUCUGAGAGGAUGAUCAGCCACACUGGAACUGAAACACGGUCCAGACGCCGACGGGAGGCAGCAGUGGGGAAUCUUGCGAAAUGGACGAAAGUCUGACGCAGCCACGCCGCGUGAGUGAAGAAGGCCUUCGGGUUGUAAAGCUCUGUCGGAUGGGACGAACAUCUUCAUAGUGAAUAGCUAUGAGGACUGACGGUACCAUCAAAGGAAGCACCGGCUAACUCCGUG